UCGUCUGGGAGUAAAGGCUCAUUUUAACUUUUGCCCUUCUGUCAAAAAUUAAUUUAUGUUUCCAAAUUUUUUCUGAAAAUUUUCUAAAAAUGAUUCGUUGGUUUUGGAUAAAAGUGUAAAUGAAAGUGACGGAAAUAUCAACCCAAUCCGUAAAAAGUUGAAGAUGGAACAUCCAGACGAUUGGUGCCCUGCGGUAUUUACAUGUGAAUCACAAUUCUUCGUGCUGACCGGCGACAACAUGUGUCAAAAUAUUCCCCCCAAAUGCUCGAAAUGACGAAACAACGACGAUAACGUCACUUUUUCAGCAGCCGAAUGAAUGAAUGAUGACGAGUUCUUUUCAAUGAUUUCAUGGGUGUUCGGAUUCAAUGAAUUUAUCACGUUUCAAUUAUCUUUGAUGGAAAUAUUGAGAUGCACUAAGUCUUAAUGGAACCUAUACAGAGUGAGAUGAAAAAACUGCACACAACUUCAGACUGCUGUCAUUUCUAAGCCACUCGUCCGACAUCUGUUAAAAUUAUUCCAGUGACAGCUCAUUAUAUUGUUUACAAGCGUACAAAAGCAUUUUGGUGAGAAUUUUCCAGAAAAAAAGUUAUUCGUGAUGGAAUUCAAGCGUGAUAGUGAGAUUACUUUAUAUUUGGCUGGAAAACCACAAGUGGCUAUCGUUAGAGCACUCCAGCAUUUAAAUGUGAAUAAAACUUUUGUAUCUCGUACCAUCGCUUGUUACCGUGAUACUGGUAGCGUAGCCCGACAUCAAGGAAGAGGAGGGAAGAAAACAGCAACAUCAGCAGAAAUGAUUCGAAAAGUAAAGAAGCGACUCGAUCGAAACCUGCGUCACAGUGGCCGAAAAAUGGCUC